rnacentral:lncRNA from 1 species
CCUGCAUCCAUUUCCGUCUGCAUUCUCUGAGGACUCGAUACGUCUGAACUCAUGGAGAAUUACACAAGGAAGGCCGUAGAGGUUGGAUAGAAAACUGCAAUGGUGGAGAGAGCGGGAAAGCAAGCAUGCACACGUACGUUUGCCGCAGAACAACAUAGCAAUACCAGGUAAAUGGUAGUCUACUUCCGGUUUUGGAUUCUUUUCUUCGAAUGAUUAUACAUGUGAUACGAUCUAGUGUUUUUUUCAAUUUGAAGAAAUACAAAAUAACUCGGACCAACUAUGGCAAUUACACAGAAGUCAGGUGAUAAUGGCUUUCCAGAGGAGAAUUCCUGUGACAUUAAACUUGCUACUGCGGCCAUUAAAGAUUGCCAAAUCAUGCUUAAAUCAACGCAAAGAGGGAAAGCAGAAGAAAAAAGAAAGCGAUGCUCGGAUGCUAGCAAGAAUCAGGAAACAACAACAAACUGUGCGAAAAUGGUAAAAUGAAAUUUCAUACCCGAAAAAAACAUACGGAUCAUCUAUAAAGUAACAUGACCCAGCGUCAGCUACCGAGUUUAUGACAGCAAUCAAGUGUGUUAUAUACCGUAACAGCAGAUUAAGCUCUUUACAAGAGAGCGAUUGUGUGAAGGAUGAUUAUACGACCUUAAAGAUGUCAACACAUUAAAGGUCAAUGUCUAUUGAAGCUUUUACACUGCAUCAUUAUGUCGUUUAAAAUGUGUUUCCUUUUUAAUUGAACUAAACACAAUACCACACCAAAGAUUUAUUUUUUCUUUACAAAACACUUGAAGUAGGUCAGAAUACACAUCUAACACAAUGUCUACACAUACAUAUGGGGUACGAUAUAGACGAAGACUAUUGUAUGCAUGAAUGACACUGGAAAGGAACGAUUCAUAACUGUGUUAGUUAGGUAUCUGAUAUAGCUGUUUGCAUGUAUAUUGAUUAAUUGAAAGUGUGUUAUAGAUAUUAUAUACAGAGCUUGGUUUUAUUUUUGGCAUAUGUUUGUAAUAUUGUUUGAACUUUGAUAUAAGUGACCGAACUAUUCAUUUUAACUUUAAGUUUACUAAUGCAGACAAUUUUAAUAAGAACCUGUUAUCCACCAAACAGUUUCCUUAUCAGUAUCUUCUAACCUGUACUAUCAACAAUAGCAUUAUAAAAUAUUAAUAUUUUAACUUUAUCUACACUUACCCUAGUUCGACCAUUGAAAUGCAUACCUACCAACUUCAUUGAUAGUACAUCCUCACUGACAAUUCUAAUGUAUCUAUAUUAACGAAAUGUUUUCGAUCUUGUUCGUGUUUUGAAAUUACAAAUGAAACUCCGUAAAUAUUUUGCAUAGCGAUAAUUGUCCAGUAGAAAUCAUCAUUAUAUAGAAUCUUCAAAUAUUCAAAUAUCACCAAGCGCAUUUUCGAUAAAUUUCUUUCCCCCGAGAAGAUCAAUAAAGAAAUACGCUCUCCGUUAACAAGUUAUAAAAUGAGAUAUUUAUUUUUUAUCUAAGAACUAUUUUUCUCCUUACAUUGAAAACAACCUUCUUAUUUACAGAGAUUUUUUUUAUCAAAAUAACGCCAAAAAUAUCAGUAAUUGUAGUAUUAUUCGAUAUCAACCGUAUUAAAAAGAAUGAUCCUCGUUAUUUAAGGAAUAUCAUUGUUUUAUUUUACAACUUAUUGGCUUCGUGGCUUCGUGGCAGUGGGGAAAGGUAUUCACCCCGCACGAUUUUAUCCAUCCUCGAUACCGCUGGAGUAUCAAAAAAGGACUUUAUCUGGAAAAUCCUCUUUUCAUCAGUAUAGUUUUUGCACUGGGUGGUAUAUUUAUUCUUGCUGUCAAAGUUCCAAACAUGUCAUGUCGUUCCAUGAAUUAUGUUUUCGUUCUACUGUUAUGUGGGAUAUAUUGCAACAGGAUUAAACAUCGCUGAAAUAUAUCAUACUUGCAAUAAUUGCGAAUUAACAGUUCAUUGAUUCUAACAAUUUUUAAAUAGUCCUAUCACUUGUUAAAUAGAAUUGUUUGCAUGGUUGACAAGUGUUAAAAAGAAACUAUCUAUAUUUUUUUUAAAUUUUAUUUUUAGGAAGUUGAUAAUAAUUUACUAUUCAUAAAGUGUUUAUCUUGAAAAUACCAUUCAGUUCAAGAUUUUAAUUGAAUUAUAUAAUUUGCAUAUGACGUUUAACAUAAGUAUCGUUAAAUGUUCUUAACUUCUGAACAUUAUAAUCAUUUUUGUAGAAAACUACUCGAAGAAGCUAUGCUUACACGUAUAUACUCGAAUGUUUUUGUUUUAGUCAUCUUGGAUAUUUUUUAAUUGUAUAUAUAGAUUUAAGGUGUCCUUUCGCUAUCUGCUCAUCCUAAUGUAAUUCCUAUCAAAACAUGUAUCUAAAUAGUUCUAUGUUGAUAUGUUUGUAUAAUUGUAUAUAUUAUAAAAAAAUGAAUGUAGGAACCUGCGUCUAAAUUUGUAUGAUUAAGCCGUUCAAAUUGCUUUGCCACUAAUCGAACUGGAAUAUGUUUACUUUUUACAUAUUUGUCUUUUUGUAUGCCCACAUCGAUUUUACUCUAAGGUUAUAUUUUCAUGCAAACAUACGCUUAGCUGUUGACUUAUGAUAUGAAUCAACGCUGACUCCUUUUCUCAACUAUUCAUUGAAAGAUGUAGGUUUUAUAAUGUCAAAGCCGAUGCAUAAAAUCAUAUAUCAUUGCGAAAUGAUCAAAGCCGUAAUAAACCUUGCAUUUUUUUACAAAAUUAUUUAGUUGUAUGUUGGAGUUAUCUUGAUCUGAAUUUUUGACUAGUUAUGCUUUGAUGUUGAAGACCUGUAUUCAAGAAAAAAGUAUCAUGGAUACAAAUCUGUAUUUAAUGGGUCCUAAAUAAAGCUACGAUUACCAUCACUCUGAACAGUUCGUACAACUUACGGAGAACGCAUUUGAACAGUCCGCAUCUUCUGGAUAACCAUCAUUCUGAAAGGGCUGCACCUUCAGUGUGAAAACUACAUCUUCUGGUUGAAGACAAAUCCGAGCAGUCUACACUUUGUUGUAAAUAUCAUCGUCAAUAUAUGUAAC